rnacentral:rRNA from 1 species
AGAGUUUGAUCCUGGCUCAGGAUGAACGCUGGCGGCGUGCUUAACACAUGCAAGUCGAACGAUCCUUCGGGAUAGUGGCGUACGGGUGAGUAACGCGUGGGGAUCUGCCCUCAGGAGGGGGAUAACGGCUGGAAACGGCCGCUAAUACCCCAUAUGCCGAGAGGUGAAACGAAUUUCGCCUGAGGAUGAGCCCGCGUCUGAUUAGCUAGUUGGUGGGGUAAAGGCCCACCAAGGCGACGAUCAGUAGCUGGUCUGAGAGGAUGAUCAGCCACACUGGGACUGAGACACGGCCCAGACUCCUACGGGAGGCAGCAGUGGGGAAUUUUCCGCAAUGGGCGAAAGCCUGACGGAGCAACGCCGCGUGAGGGAUGAAGGCCUCUGGGCUGUAAACCUCUUUUCUCAAGGAAGAAGACCUGACGGUACUUGAGGAAUAAGCCACGGCUAAUUCCGUGCCAGCAGCCGCGGUAAUACGGGAGUGGCAAGCGUUAUCCGGAAUUAUUGGGCGUAAAGCGUCCGCAGGCGGCCUUGUAAGUCUGUUGUUAAAGCGUGGAGCUUAACUCCAUUUAAGCAAUGGAAACUACAAGGCUGGAGUGUGGUAGGGGCAGAGGGAAUUCCCGGUGUAGCGGUGAAAUGCGUAGAUAUCGGGAAGAACACCAGUGGCGAAGGCGCUCUGCUGGGCCAUAACUGACGCUCAUGGACGAAAGCCAGGGGAGCGAAAGGGAUUAGAUACCCCUGUAGUCCUGGCCGUAAACGAUGAACACUAGGUGUCGGGGGAAUCGACCCCCUCGGUGUCGUAGCCAACGCGUUAAGUGUUCCGCCUGGGGAGUACGCACGCAAGUGUGAAACUCAAAGGAAUUGACGGGGGCCCGCACAAGCGGUGGAGUAUGUGGUUUAAUUCGAUGCAACGCGAAGAACCUUACCAGGGUUUGACAUCCUGCGAACCCCUGAGAAAUCGGGGGGUGCCUUCGGGAGCGCAGAGACAGGUGGUGCAUGGCUGUCGUCAGCUCGUGUCGUGAGAUGUUGGGUUAAGUCCCGCAACGAGCGCAACCCACGUCUUUAGUUGCCAGCAUUCAGUUGGGCACUCUAGAGAGACCGCCGGUGAUAAACCGGAGGAAGGUGUGGAUGACGUCAAGUCAUCAUGCCCCUUACAUCCUGGGCUACACACGUACUACAAUGCUACGGACAAAGGGCAGCAAGCUCGCGAGAGUUAGCAAAUCCCAUAAACCGUGGCUCAGUUCAGAUCGUAGGCUGCAACUCGCCUACGUGAAGGAGGAAUCGCUAGUAAUCGCAGGUCAGCAUACUGCGGUGAAUACGUUCCCGGGCCUUGUACACACCGCCCGUCACACCAUGGAAGUUGGCCAUGCCCGAAGUCGUUACUCCAACCCUUGUGGAGGAGGACGCCGAAGGUGGGGCUGAUGACUGGGGUGAAGUCGGAACAAGGUA